AGUCAGCGUUGGUUCCCGUCUUGGCCAUGGCCUCGUUCGUGACAGAAGUUUUGGCACACUCCGGGAGGCUGGAAAAGGAGGAUCUGGGGACCCGGAUCAGCCGCCUGACCCGGCGGGUGGAGGAGAUCAAGGUGAGAGCGGGGCAGCUGUCUGCUGACUGGAAGGGGACUCCGGGUCCUUGUGUGAAGGGACUGGAGAGAGGAGUCAGGGGCUAAGGGCAGACAGAGUGGGGACCAGCAGAGUGGGGCCUGUUGGGGAGAUCUAGUUGUGGGGGCUGAAUGAGGAGUGGAGGGGCCCAGAAUGUGUGGAUUGAGGAGGGAUCUUGGAGGGGAGCCCACACAGGGGUUGGGAACUGAGGAGGCGAGGAGACCUGGGACUGUGGGGACGAACAGGCGGUGGCUGGAGAGCACUGGAGAGUGGAGUUAUGUUGGGGAGGGGUGUGCCGCGGGAAGAGGGAGACUGAAGAGACCAGCAGAGCGGGAGGAGCAACUGGAAGCUCCGAGGAAGCUAGGGAGCGAGCGCAGGAGAGGAAUAGAAAAGACAGGAUCCCCCUUCCCCUUCUUCCAUCGAUGAGUGUUUAUUUCCUCCACCCACUCCUUGAUUUGUUGAUGAAUAAAAUAGCCUGGAGGAUUGCACCUUUCUCCUCCCCGACAUUAAAAAAAAAACAAACCCAAACCCUCAGUAUGUUUUUAUUUUUAUGUAUCUAUCUAUCUUUUGAGAUGGAGUCUUGCUCUGUCGCCCAGGCUGGAGUGAUCUCGGCUCACCGCGACCUCUGCCUCCCGGGUUCAAGCGAUUCUCCUGCCUCAGCCUCCCGAGUAGCUGAGAUUACAGGCGCGUGCCACCACGCCUGGCUAAUUUUUUUUUUUUUUUUUUUGUAUUUUUAGUACAGACGGAGUUUCACCAUGUUGGCCAGACUGGUCUCGAACUCUUGACCUCAGGUGAUCCACCCGCCUCGGCCUCCCAAAGUGCUGGGAUUACAGGUGUAAGCCACCGUCUCCGGCCUCUUAAUGUGGUUUUAAAACUUCAUCUACAAGCACAUGAAGCUGUGCUGAGUGUCAUUGGUACCUACGUAAACGUUGCUGCCUUGAGAUUGAUACAAAAACUGGAAGCACGUAGCCACACACAGUUUUGCUUUGUACUGAUAUUGUUACCUUGCCAGUAUUUGUCCACAUCUUCAGUUGCUUUCAUUUAAAAUUUUGUGUAUCUGAGUCAAGUAGGGUUUCGAGGGAGCAAGUUUGCCACACACCAUAAGGGCACAGGUAUAACCCUUCCUAACAGCUCUUGAUUUUACAAAAGUAGUUUCCUGAAUUUUAAGUAGUCAUAUCCCUGACAUCUCUUCUUUAAUAUGGCUUUCGGAUUUUUCACCACUGUUUAAUGUGAUGGAAAGAGGACAGGUUUUUAAGUUACUCUAGCAUGGCAAGCGACCCUAGCUCCUGCGUGUUCUGGACCCAACAUGCCUUUCUUUGCUUUCACUAGUUUCCUUUACCAACUUGAAUCUUCAGCCAAUUGAGAAUUACUUUCUCUGCUCUCCCUCCCUUUUUUAAUCCCAUAUUUUGCUUAUGUUGCCAUUUUUCCAUCUUUACCUGUAGUAUUUUUCAAACCCAUUUUUCAAGUUCCAUUUCAAAUGUCUCCUGCAUAAAAAAAAAUCUUUAUCUUCCCUCAGGGAGAGGGGAUCUCUUUCUCAUUUGUGCUCCUGGAAGGCUUUGUAACUUUGUUGCUGUAUUACAUUUCAGUCCUGUAUUCUUGUUGCUCAAGUAUAUAGUAUCUUUACUACGUAGGAAUUUGAGGGCAAGCAUAAUUUGUUCUUUUUUUUAAUUCAUGUAUUUAUUCCUCUGUCAAAAUAAUAAUUUAACAAAAUUAGCCAGGCGUGGUGGUGUGCGCCUGUAAUCCCCAGCUACUCUGGAGGCUGAGGCAGGAGGAUCGUUUGAACCUGGGAGGUUGAGGUUGCAGUGAGCCGAGAUUGUGCCACUGCGUUCCAGCCCGAGGGACGGAGUGAGACUCCAUCUCAAAAAGAAAAACAAAAUCAAUUUAAAGCCAUCACAUUUUUAAAAGAUAAAGGAGAAUUUGUGGCACAGCUGCAUUAACAAAACAAGACACCAGUCUAAAGUGCAACACUAAACAGGUGUUCUCUCUUCCCAUGGUGGAAUACAUACACACAAUUACACGUAAGAUUUCACUGAAGAUAUGGAAUGAGGCAAAUAACCCUUUGAAAUGAACCACCCAAGGAAUAGAGACAGGCUAAAAAUAAUUUCUUUUAAGAUUUUACUGUAAGAUGGACCCCCUGCCCCCACUCCAGCCCAGGUAAGUACUAACUCAAACCCCUCAUUUUAUGUGCAUGGCCUUGGCUUCUGUCUUCUUUCCUCAGCCACAUCCAAAUCCAGAAAGGCUUCUGUACCCUAUGCUCAAAACGCAACCUCAGCCAGGUGUGAGCCACAAUGCCGGGAUGCAUCAUUUCUUUAAACAAUGGCUUUAACUGUUGAAUGAGCUCUGACAAGCCAUAUGCAUCUCAUAAGCAAGCCAAAAUACUGUCUUCAUAUCUGUUUUUCUUGCAAACAUGUAUCAUCCAAGUAAAAAAAAAAAAAAAAAA
rnacentral:lncRNA from 1 species